CACAAAUUAUCGUUUGGACUUUGAGUGCCAGCUGUGGGCAAGGUUUCGUGGCCGGUCAGCGCCGUAUGGAAGUGGUUAAGUGUUAGGUAUUUGCACUGUGUCACUAGGGUUAGUGAUGGUGUUCAUUUUCCUCUCGUAGUAUCUCAACAUAAAACUAACUGACAUCAGUGUCACAGAUCCUGAGAAAUACCCUCACAUGUUAUCAGUGAAGAAUUGCUUCAUCCGGGGCUCAGUGGUCCGCUAUGUGCAGUUGCCGGCAGAUGAGGUGGACACACAGCUGCUACAGGAUGCAGCAAGGAAGGAAGCCCUGCAGCAGAAACAGUGAUGGCUCCUCUUUCCCCUUCUUCCAUUGGUGACCCAUAACCUCCAGUCCCAGCCCAGCUUCCCUCUCCCCCAGUACUUGAAGUGUUUGGUUUUUUUCUUUUAAAUAGUGAUUUUUUUUUAAAGGGAUAAGAGGAGUAAUAGUGGGGAACAGCUAUCAUUUGUUGAGAAGGGGAGGAUAAGUAGGCUGGGAAACUGCAAAGCUUUCCCAGUCCCCAGCAUCUGCCAUUCUCACUUCUUCCCUGGAGAUGCUGGGAGAGUUUCUGAGUUAUUUCCAGGGCAACAUGUGAUUCAUUUUGGGGAUGGAAGGAAUCUGUCCCGAAUCGGGAAUAAAAUUUAUGAUGCAAAUUUGA